rnacentral:lncRNA from 1 species
AACUCUGUAAUUAGAACUCAGCUCUCUCAAAACUCCGUCUCCUUCUCAAAGCCUUAAAAACCCUAAACCCAUCUCUUAAAACCCGUAAGAUCCCUAAAAUCAUUAUCUCUCAAGAUUUCGUUCUUCCGAUUUCUUCUAAUAUUGUUGGAGAGAUAUGGGUAGCCGUUGGACUGAGUAUGGAUGUUCUUCCUACUGCAUAGAUGUUGCCGAAUAUUGCGUUGUUCCUAAAUCUGGUACAGGUUUGUGGGCUGAUUUUGGGUAUGUCAAAAGUUAUCCUUUUAUAUACAUUCUAUAAUGAUUUAUCUAGUUAUUUUUUAAUGUUUGGGUCGAUUCUUCUCCAAAAUUUACAACAGAUCUAGCUAGAGGGCUUGAACUCCAGAAAUAUUUUGGGAUUCCUCAGUAAACUUUGUCCAGUGAAAUAAAUUUCUUCUCAUUAUUGGCAACGAGGUAGUGAUUUCAUUCCAAGAUAUGUUUUAUGGCUUUACAGUUUGAUUACAAAGUUUUAUUUUUUGAUUGUUAAAUUAAAAAGUUUUGUUUGUUUGCUUGUUUUAUUCUUUUUCGCUCUUUAUUGUCAAUGUACAAAUACCAUAUGAGUUGUGACAUAUUAUCACACCUGACGUCUUAGUGAAUCCAAAUGUAAUGAUAAGGAUACUUUUCAUGAAUUUGAAUUUUAAAUGCCAAUAUCAGUUUAUGACAUAAUAAUUUGGGAAAGGUCUCUGGAGGAUAUUUUUUUACUUUUUACGGUGUUAAAUGUGAUGGGCACUAGUAAAGCGAGAAGAUAAAAGAAUAUUAUAUAAUUUAUGUAGUGAAAGAAUGGUGUUAAUAAUUAAUUUAGGAGUUUUGAACUUCAAAUCUUGUAUCAGGAAUGAGAUUAUUUUUCAGUGGCAAUAAAAGGAUGUAGCACAGUAUUUAAAAUUUAUCCUGUUCAUUUGAUUGUUCAUAUGUCUAAGUAGUUGAGUAGUCAGCAGAGUUAGAGGGUCCCUUAAUGAGUUAUGGUUUCUUUUUUUUUUCUUCAUAAAAAUAAUGUACUAUAUUUUGUUCUAAUUGUGAGGUUUAUGUUUGAUCAGUUGAUUAAGAUAUUCUUUGCGUUUGGCCACGAUACUCCCUUUGAGUUAACUUGUACCUAUUUUCUCAUCUUAGAUUUAACAUUUGCAUUAUCCCAGGCAUUUUUAUAAGCUUCUAUACAUAGAGAUGUAUAAUAUUCUUGUGAAGGAAAUCUCAUUGCUGCUAAGUUAUGUAGAAACUCUUAGUUUCACCAUUCUUUCCUUGGGUCGUGUAUGUAUGUGUUUGGUGUAUCUCUAGCUAUUUUCUUAGCUGCUAAUGAAAUCAUGAUCUUGGUUGUUAAUAUAUUUUUCGAUGUCAGUUGCUACAUUUCAGGAUUAGCUAUUGUUAUUCUUCAUCUUGUUCGACUUUUUUGACUUCUUGGGGAAUAUUAGGAGCAAACAUAUGAGUAUGUAGUUAAAUUAGGCUGAGCAACUGUACCUUUUUUCCCCAAAAUAAUAUCAUUAAAGUGGAGAAUACUGUUAUUUGUCAUGACUUGAGUGAUAUUAAAGUUUGUGAAUAAGCUAUAUACCUUAGUUAUCAUAAAUGAGUAGUUGGAAAGUGAAGUAUUUGAGCAGUGCUAGAAAAGAAAUACUUUUGUCUGUUUGAGCUCCUAUGUCAUUGUUUAGAAUGUUUUGAUUUCAUUUACAUGAUUUUCUAUGUAAGGAAAUUACUUCCUUGAAUGUUCUGAACAUGCUGCUUUAAAAGAUACUAAAUAUGUGGCUAAUUCUUGGUAAGUUAAAUGUGCUAUUGCUGGAGAAAUGGACAAUUUGGACAUUGCAGGUACUUAUAUGUUAUUCUGAUGUCCUUAAGAUGCUAUAGCUGAAAAUAUUGUGGCCACAAUAAUAGUUGAACUAGAACUCACUACUACCUUAUUUCAUCUGAGUACAAUGGAGUAUUCUAUCCAAAUGGACAGUUGUAUAGGCUAAUGUGGUGUUAAUAUGUGCAGGUACAAGGUGAAGGACCAAGUACAUUCAAAUAGCAAGAAGUUGAACACAAAGUGCAAAAAUUUCCCACCUUAUUGAAGAUAUGAAAAAUAUCGUCAACAAUAAUUUUUCCACUAGCAGAAAUUUGCUUCCUUAGAGGCUGUACAGAGUUUAACAACUGCACCCAAGAGGUACUAAGCUAAAUAUUAGGGUGAGUUUGAAAAUUAAUGUAGUUGAAGACUAGCAGCUUGAUGGUGUUUAGCUUUAGUUUGUUGCAGUUGUGCACUGUUUUAGACACUGCUGUAGAGAUGCAAUCUCCAUUGAGUUCAACGGCUUGACGUACUCAGUUUUAACAAAAGUUGAUAUUAAUACCAAGUGAAGUUGUCAGCGCGUAUUGGAUGCAGAAAUAAAGAUUUGUUGAAUAUGAAAUCAAGACAGUUUCAUGGUAGAAAAAAAGAUUUGGCUGAAGGGGAUCAAACCACAACAACACGGGCCUCUUACAUCAGACAUUACAAAAGUUGUCCAAUUCUUUUUCCUUGCUGCUACAGAACUGAGUUAUUCCUUUACAGUUAGUUGUCGGUUGAUCUAAUUUUUGCCUUCAAAGUGAUUUUUCCAACUUAUAUUAGUUGAAUUACUCAUUGGAGUGUAUUAGACAGACUGGUAUCGCGAGAAUAUUUAGAUGGUUAUACUAUAUAAAGUCUAAAUUCAGAAAUAUGUAGGAGGUAAGGUAUAUGUCCCCCUCCUUGUAUUUGACAUGUUAAUGAAAUCUACAUUAAGGUCUCGAUGAUUAACCUUGAUGUGCAUAUAUGAAAGCUUGAUGUUACUGA